AUUUAAUGGCCUUAUCGAUGAUUCUUUAAUAUGUCGAAAAUAUAAUCUGGUAUAUUAAGUAUUAUGAUACAAAUAAUUAAAUAUUUAAAAAUAUUUUAACUAUUAAUAUAAUGAGACUUGAUAUACCAAAUUAUAUAUUUAGUGGGCUUAAAAAUUUAUCGACAUUGUGGCAAGGUAGGAGAAGACAAAUACAAAACGAAAAUCUUGGACGGUCCUUCAAAUACUACAUUAAAUUAUACUAUGCAUACAACAUAUUAUUUAAUUAAUAAUUUAUGAUAGAAUUGUUGGUAGUAAUUUCGUAUCUACUUAUGGUUACUUAUUUUAACUGCAAUCAUGCCAUUUUAAUCACAACUUAAUUGAAGCCUUAACUUCUUAUUUUUGUUCGUGAUCAAUCUUUAAUUACUUUGAUCGCAUGAUCAUGGUCAAUAUAAAUCAUGAUUGUUUUACUAAUUAGGGUUUCAAUCGUUCAAUUUUAUUUAAUUUUUUGUUAAUACAAAAAGUAAUGAAUAUUAAACACAUGCCAUUAGAAAAUUAAAAAAAGAUAAACAUAAGUUAUGAGUUUAUGUUAUAGCAUUACCACUGUUUUAAAAAUUCUGCCUAGUGCUAUCAAGGUCAUGUCUAGGCUCUGAACGACAAGCGACCACUUUGAUGAUUCAUAGACGAUUGAAAAUUAUGAAAAAACGCCUAGACUUGUUUAAGUAACUAUUCAUACUUAAGAGUAAAUUAUUAAAAGAAAAAAUGUAUGUCUACAUUCGACGAUAGAACUUACUGUAAUUCUUAUGAACUAAAGUAUUUACAGUAAGAAAUAAUUAAGUUAAUGCAUGCCAUAGAUUGUUGUAUACUAUAACUUACCGUAACUUUUUAUUUAUCCCGAAAUUGCUAACUUCUUUCCUGGUCUGAAUAGGGUAACUUCACAAUAAUUGGAUAAUUCUUGGUCCACUAUAUUUUUCUGGAUUCAUAUCGACCGUUUGAAGGACAUUUUCGACUUUCAUCGAAUCGGUGGGUGAUGACACAUCAUCAAAACUGGAAUUGCGAUCCUCUGAAUUUCUGUGUUCGAGAUUAUAUAUUCUGAGAAAUAAAACUAUAAGAAAUUUUAUUUGAACUUAUAUAAUCUCUUUCAAACUUUAAAUAUGAAUUGUCUUUCUUACUCUAUUGCAUAAUUACCGUCAGGUACAAGAUUAAAUGAACAAUAAAACCAAAAUUUAUCAAUAGACCCAUAUAUACCCAAUCAUCAAUCUACUUCUUGGUACCAUCUGGGAAUGUGUCGCGCCUUCAUCGCACUAGCUCGAUGUUACUUAUGAGCUUUUAUAUGCUUAUGUUAUUGUUUAUGGAUUCGAAGCAACCAAGGAUUCUUCAAACUUCAGAACACAUGAAUGAAAUGCUGAUUCAACGGACCAUGUGAAACUUUUGGAUUUUGUACUAAAUAUUGGAGGGAUUGGCUGAUCCAAUUUUGAUCAUUUGCAAAAAAACGCAUACUGAUUGAACAAAAAAUAAAAUAAAAACAUAUGGGAUUUAAAUAUUUAAUUUUUUUUAAUCAUCUAUAUGGGAUUAAGCAAAAUCAACAGAUGAGAUUAAUUAAAACAGAUAUGGGAUUGAGCAAAAUCAGCAAAUAGAAGGAUUACGCAUGAGACAAAUAUGUGGGAGAUAUUGUUGUCUUUAUGCCUUGAAUGAGUUUCAAAACACGAUUUUGGUUUUUUAUUUUUUAUAUGGGUGUAAAGAUAAAUUUAUGUAUCAAAUUGUGUUUGUGAGGGUAAUUUAGAUAGUAAGUUUGGGUUUAAAGAUAUAUUAAUAAUUUAGUUAAAAAUAAUAUGGGUGGAGGGAGUAAGUUGAAUGUAAAAAAAUGUUGUAUGGAUUCAAAUAAAAUUUCUAAAACUAUUCAUUUUAAACUCUUAUUAUCACACUAACUCACUGCACACAAAUAAAGCAUCUGAAUCUCUCAUACUAACAAUCCAAAUCCCUUAAUUCUUGGCUUUCUAACACCAGAGAUUCCGAUAGAUUUUCAAUUCUCAAAACUGGGAGGAUAUGAGAUAUAUUUUCCUUGUUUUUUAUAAUUUUUUAAAGGUAUAAAAAGUUCAACAUCAAAGAGGAAUAAAUCUUAAUUUAUAAGAAAAGGUGUGACAUCCGACAUCGCCCAGGGGAGUUGAUCAUGUACCUUAUAUGUAUAUUCCCAUCUCUACCUAGCACGAGGCCUUUUGGGAGCUCACUGGCUUCGGGUUCCAUCAGAACUCCGAAGUUAAGCAAGUUCGCACGAGAACAAUUCUACGAUGGGUGACCCACUGGGAAGUUGUCAUCUGAGAUCCUAGAAACAAAAACCGUGAGGGCGUAGUUGGAGCCAAAAGCGGAUAAUAUCGUGCUACGAUGUGGAACGGGUCUGGGAUGUGGUGGACCUCGGGCCGGGAUGUGACAAAAGGAAAGAGAAAAUAAUAUGGAAACUAACAUCAGCUAGUCUUUUACUUGUUUGGAUGAGGUUGGCCCAAAUUCUUUGCUUGAUAUUAAAACAAAAAGUAAAUUAAACUUCCAUACGCGGUUUCAUUAUUCUUUUUAAGAUUGACUAAAAUUCAAGAAAGAAACAUAUAUUUUGGGUAAAGAAUGAAUGUUAAAAAAGUUAAGCAUUUUGAGUUACGACUUUGUGUCUCACAAAUCACAAACAUGUUCACCAUUGAGUGUUAUGUGGUUUGAUUGGAAGGAAGGCAAUUUCUAUGAAAUUGAAGAAACUUGCACCAAACAGGUUUCGAGAAUUAAUCCUAAUUUUAACACGCAGAGAACUAACCUUAUUUCAAUAGAUAAGGAAUCCAAGUUCUUCUGCUAAACUUUAAGGCAUAAAAUACUAAAUAUAACCUUACAUAUUAAAAAAAAAACCAAAUUAACUUUUCCAAAAACAUGAGCACGAUGUAGCAAUAUUCCAAACCUAUCAAGCGGCAGUAUGUGUUGGUAACUUUUCGCGUAAAGUAGCUUUAUUAUUCUGGACCUUGACAUUUUUCAUCUAAGUAUUUACCACCGAAAGGCUCAGCACCAAAUUAACGAUAUUAGUCAAACAAAUUCGUGUCGGUAUUAUAAAAGUACACUAACUAACCAAUCGAUAUUACAUCAUGCUUAUGUGAUUCUGGUAUCUAUGGCGCACUGAAAGUCAGGUAAAAGAAAGAGAUCUGUAUAGUACUUGGCUCGAUCGUCUUUAGCAAGUAGAUAAUCCUACCCCUGUUAAGUUGUCGUUCCUCCAAUAAGCAACAAGGACGUGAAACCCUACAUUUUUUACUAUAUGUAUCCUUCCAUGUUUGAAACACCCUAAUCAUUUUGCUAUAGAUAAUAGAGGUGUGACAACGAUAAGCAUCCCAGUACGUAGUGAAGAAAAUGAGUUUCAGAAUCUGUCGUGUUUGCAUGGGCUAAUUGGUCCUGGUCGGCCAUGCUUUGUCGGUUUUAUGCAGAUUGAUUCUUGUCAUUCAUGUUUAUAAAGACGGAUAAUUGAACACGACUAACUCUAACAAUUCUCGAGAAAAUAAUUGAUUAAUUGUGGGAUUGUGUGAGAUGGAAAGUAGACCUCAACUUGCAUUGUUUUAUUUAUAACAUGUGCCCGCGCGCGCGCAAUAUGCCCUAUUGGCUGCAGCGUAGAGAUAAAUUUAUAGUCCCAAACAGUUAGGACAGUAGUAGGCCAAUAGAGGAUAAAGAAGUGGUGAAUAAACAACUGGCACCACAUGGAUGGAGACAGUAUAGUUCCCUUGUGGGAGAAAUCAGAACAUAAUUAGCAAACUAAUCGGUAGUGUAAACAGUAAUUCAGCUAGCAUAGAUUUCUCCUGAUCUGUACAUUUGACCAAUCCUAGGCUCCUAGCUAUCUAGUAAAUCUCAUGUUGAUGAAUCCGAUGAUGUUCAAUAUUACAACAAACGUAGAAGAAGGAUCAACAAAGUGCAAGUGCAUUUAAUUAACUAAUUGCUAUUUAUAUGUUUAAUGAGAAAUGUUAAGGAGACUCUCAAAAGUAAAACUAUUUGUUAACUCUAUGUCAUCUCAUGUUUUUGAUACAAUGUUUUAUAAUAUUGACACGGAAAUUGACGUUAAUUAAAUUGUCAACUGUGAGAUGACAGAGAUUUCAUCAAGAAUUAAUCUCACUUUGAGAGAAAAUCUCCUGAGCAUUUUUCAUGUUUAAUUACUAGGUUAGGAAUAUUUAGGAAGGUCAUGAUCUAAUGAACAGUUGAAUAUCAGAGUGCGGAACAAACAAGAAGAACAAAAUAAUAAGAAUUUUAUUAAACUAACUGAAUGCCGAAACGGCUACAAAAACCCUAACAAGCUACAUUGUGAAUAACUUAUUUCGAAUGAAUAACAAAUCACUCUAUUUAUAAUAAACUAACCAUAAACCCUAAUGCUAACGGGCUAAGCCCAGAAAACAAAAUAUUAAAGUAAACCUAAAUACUAAUAUUCUACAACACCCCCCGUCAAACUCAUGGCGGUAUACGACAUGGGUUUGCAAACAAGCAGAUGCGGACUGGCUCUGUUAGGCGGACAGACAGACAGGCAGGCUCUGCCGCAACGCGGACAGACAGACAGGCAGGCUCCGCAACGCGGACAGACAGACAGGCAGGCUCCGCAGCAACGCGGACAAACAGACAGGCAGGCUCCGCAACGCGGACAGACAGACAGGCAGGCUCCGCAACACGGACAGACAGACAGGCAGGCUCCGCAACACGGACAGACAGACAGGCAGGUAUGCAAACUUGACUUGACUUGACUUGCGAACUGGUGAACUUGCGAACUUGACUUGACUUGAUUCUUGACUUGACUUGACUGGCAAACUGGCUAGAGUUGAGAGUAUGGAAAGAACCCGUCACUAAACGGACGAGGUUUCCAUAUCUCAAUUAUACCAACAAACAACGAAAACAAUUCCAAACAAGGCAACCAACAAUUCUUGCGGGCCUAAAACAAACUUAAACCAUAUUUUUGACUUUUGCCCGUGUGGGCCUAAAAAAAAAACUCCAAACAAUUUUUUUCUCUUCUCUUUUUUUUUUUUUUUUUUUCCUCUCCUUUUUUUCUCUCUUCUUCUUUUUUCUUUCCUUUUUCUCUUUUCUGCUGGGCUUCUUCAGAACUGCAGCAACAUGUUUCUUGGUCUUGUGCGGCGGUGAGUUCAUAAGGCAGUGCAACAAGGAUGUGAUGAGCAGCGGCAACCUGGGUGGAUGGUGAUUGGGUGCGCGGGACGACGGCAAGGGAUCUGGGUGCAGGUGCAAGCAGGUUGUUCCGGUGGCAGCGUGGUGGUGAUCUGAUGAAGAAACGAUGGCUGGCAGGUACGGUUCAGGCAGAUGCGAGUGCAGGCUGGUGGUCUGGUGCGAGAUGGUGGUGCGGUGGUUUAAGCAGGCGAGGUGCAGGGUUCAUGUCACAGGGAACUGGACGCAGUGGAAGGUUCAGGUUUUUUGUUUUCUUAUGCAAACUAAACCAACAACAAAAAACUAGCAUACAAACUGACAAAUAACAUACCAACCCGACCAAGCAGAUUAAAUCCCAAAGGAUUGAACCUGCUCUGAUACCAAGUUGAAUAUCAGAGUGCGGAACAAACAAGAAGAACAAAAUAAUAAGAAUUUUAUUAAACUAACUGAAUGCCGAAACGGCUACAAAAACCCUAACAAGCUACAUUGUGAAUAACUUAUUUCGAAUGAAUAACAAAGCACUCUAUUUAUAAUAAAUUAACCAUAAACCCUAAUGCUAACGGGCUAAGCCCAGAAAACCAAAUAUUAAAGUAAACCUAAAUACUAAUAUUUUCCAACAUGAACUGCCACAUAUUUGGCCGGGACAAAAUCGAAGUAGCUAGCUCUUUCGUUGUUUGACAUCAUCUACCUCAGGGUGCUUGCUUCUUGUUUUGCAGCAGCAGGAAUUGCUUAAUUAUUCGCUGUCAAAGUAUCACGAGUUCUUGCAGAUGUGAGAGAGUAGCAACAUUAACAAGAACGGAUGUGCUCUCCUAUGUUGUUAUGCACUUAAGUUAAAUAUAUUUUUCCUCACAAUUAAUAAAAUAUCAGUCGUAUAAAACCAUUGCUUUAUUUCUUUACAAGGUUUUUAACCAUCCUGGAAAGGCCACCUUUUUUUUUUUUUUAUAAUUAUUAUUUAUUUUAAAUACAAGACAAUUUAGAGUAUGGGCAUUAGCCAUUUAACAUUUUUAGACCCGCCAUAUGCCAUUUAAUAAUUUAGAGUAUGGGAAUUAGCCAUUUAAACUACUCAUGUGCCCCCUCUCCUUCAUUGGAUUGUAGUAUGGGCAUCGUCAUCUUCAUUCACUACUUACGCCCCCUCGUAGUAUGGUCGUCUUCUUCAUUUACUAUUUGCCGUAUCAAAUCUGGGCCUGGGUCGACUACGUACGCGUGCAUGCAUGCAUGCAUUAAUGCGUGAAAAUUGAGCAAUAGAGAAGCUACGCGCGAAUUGCAAUUGUAAUGAACUACACAUGCUGGGAACUUCUGCAAAUCGAAUUGAUGGGGUGAAAUUAAUCAUGCAAACUCAUUCAGAUUCUAUUAAAUUUCUUUAUUAUUUGAAAUUUUCUGAUGAUCCAGUGAUAUAUAAUUAAGUUAUUCCCAAUAUAUAUAUACUUUACAGCAAGCAUUCAUUCCCAAAUUUCCCAGCCAAAAUAUACUUCAGAUUUAACCUAAUUCAGAACUAAUCGUUCGCAAAAGAAAAAAGUUUGCAGAAAAAUAAAUUGAAGGUAAAAAAAACAUAGCAACAUUAGUAACCGUGCCAAUAUAUACACCCCCAUGAAAAUUAAUUAACAAACCAUAUUUACGUUUAUGUGUAUUAUGAAACCCAAUGAUUAAUUAAUUAUUAAGAACGGAUUAAUUGCUGAGGUCUUGCCUUUGGAUCAUACGCUAGCUGUAGGCAGUUAUCUCCUUGGACGCAGGGGGAGAAGCCACAGAGUCCUGCGAUGUUCGAGGCGGCGAAUGCGGUAAUCGGGAGGAGAAUCCCAAGAGCGGGUCAUCCUCGAGGUUGGACUCCUCGUGAUCAAAGUUGAGGGCGUAGCUGAGUGCGUCAUAUUUGAAAUCGGCUGAAUGAUGCCUCCGGCCCGCGCGGCCAUGGCCAUUGCCACGUCCAUGCAUGCGCCCAAUCCAAUUUCUGCACUUGUCUUUCAAUUCUGCAAACUCGUAAUGAUUGUUGUGGUGGUGGUGGUUGUAAUGGUGUUGGGGGUGGUGAUGAUGCCUAGACCGCGAGGACCGGGGAUUAGGGGAGAAUGAGGAGGUUUGCACGAGGCUGACAUUAUCAGCCUCAUGCGGAGUGGGAGGCGCCGUGAGGGCGCCGUGGUGGUGAGCUUUAGGAGUAGGGAAGCAUGGGAUGAUGCAGAGGGAGGAGCGGAGCUUUUGUUUGAGGGAGUUUGGGGAGCAGGGUUCGUGGUGGUUCUCCAUUAUUUUGAUUUGUGUGGAGAGGUUAGGGGUGGUGGUGGUGGUAUUUGUGUUUUUAUUUGGGAGGAGGAGGAGGCCCCGUGGAGAAGGUGCAAUGACGGAUGAGGACACGUAGAUUUCCGGAAUUCAUGGGAUGCUUUUGGGGUUUCUGGUCAUUUGACGUUGUUCAGAGAUUAUCGCUUUUUAGGGUCUUUUUUAUUUUAUAUUUUUUUCCUUUCGAUAAAUCUGAAAACCAUGUUGGGCCAGAAUUUGAAGGUUAAUAUUGUCGUCCAUUUGCAUGACUUAUGGGCUGGGCUCGAAUACAAAAUUGGAAUGUGAGCUUGAACAUAGCAUAGAUUUUAUGGUGUGAUUAGUUUUUCUUGUUGCCCAAUUAAGAAAACUACGUGCUUAUGAGAUGAGAUUUGGUGCCGAUGUGGUUAAGCGAGUUGAUUUUUUUUUUUUUGGUCAAACGAUAAGUUUUGUUAGAUUAGUCAUUGAUGGGGUUCGAACACACGCUAUCAUGUAAGGGCUCAACACAUUUUCAUCAUUGUGGUAAAGAGCCACUUGUGUUAAGCGAGUUGAUUAGGACUGUGUUUUUUUUUGUACAUGAGUUCGAAUUUUCAUUAUUAUAAGUUAAGAUUAGUUUAGAAUAUCACAUUGUUGGACAAAAACAAAGGAAGAUUUGAGUAAUCCAUUUGAAUUUUUGUUUAUUAAUUUUCUUUAAUUUAUUCGAUCUAAGAGCUGAAGAUUAAGAAAAGUAUAUGAAAGAUAAAAAUAAGUGUCUUUUAAUAUUAGUUUGUAUGAUCCUUAGAACCCAUGGUGUGUUCUUCCUCACAUGAUAAGAUCUUUGUCCAUAUCCUUUGUGUAGUAAAAUAUUGUAGAAGUGGGGUUGGGGUUGAUACGUUUGUAUUGUUUAUUGAGAGAAAAUAUACUCACUCCUGACAUUUGUGAUUCUCUACACCUUGUCUUGUUUUUAACUUUGAAAAAGAUUCACUUCUAUUCAAUUUUGAUAUUAUUUAUUGAUAAAUUUGAUCAUUUAUGAUAUAAUUUCUUUAAAUAGUCGAUUUUAUAUGUGGGGUAAGACGCCAUUUGUGUGUACAAUCAAAUUGACUUUCAGGUUAUAAGGACAAAGACGUCUCAUUAUCACAAUGAAUGAGACCACGUGGAUUGGAGAUUGGACUUACGUGCGACCCGAUAAUACCCUCAUAUAAUGCAGCCCGUUCAUUUGUGAGAGUGUCUGACCAUCUAGCUGGUCAGACUGCUCUACUCACAAUUCUGAAAUAAAAUUUAAUAGUUAAAACACCUGUUUCAUUGAAGCCAAACUUUUCCCCCUCUUAAUUCUACUUGAUUCAUUGAAAUAGUGCAAAAAAGAAUGUGCAAAUUCACUACCCUUUUUACCUAAACACAAAAACAGAAGAAAUGAAGUACUCAACAAAACCAUUCACUGCAGCCGAGAAAAGACAUUUUAUUUACUAGAAAGCCCAAUGAAACAUUACAAGAAGAGAUUUGGUUGAUCACGUGGCUCACCCUUGUCCCUUAAUAAGUGCCAGGUUUUCAGUUCAUAGCAACACGCAGCACCACUGUCUCAUUCGACACACACCUCGUGGACUUGUUGGAAGCUUUCGGUUAAGUUGCACUGAAACUCCCUCAACCUUUCCAUCCCAUGUCUCUCACCUUUUCUUUGUUUUGUUUUGUCUCCUCAUCUUUUACUUUUCUUUUGCUCAUUUUCGUUGAAGAAUAUAGCCCCACAUCGAAAACCUGACUGCAGUAAACACUAUUUAUUUUUGUUUUACCAGUAGUAGUAGUAGGCCGUUGAACCGUCUCUGAAACUUUAACGGUUUUCACUGGUACAUAAUUGAGAGGAGAGAGAUGAAGAUGAUUGAUGCAGAUCGUAUAUACAACCAUCAAUGGUAUGGACCCCUCUUUUGUCUGCCACCAUAUUUUGUUUCCAUCUUAUUGUUUAACUUCCCUCUUCUUCUUCUUCUUCAUUUCUUUGGAAAAUAUUUCAGGACCAAGCAGCUUUUCAUGGUGGAAAAACUGUAUCAUUUAUAAGAGAAAUAUAUACAUAUAUAUAUAUAUAUAGAGAGAGAGAGAGAGAGAGAGAGAGAGAGAGAGAGAGCUACACUUGUUUUCUUUGUCGGUUUUGAGUUGUUAUUUGGAGGUUGAAAUUAAUGGCUGGAAUGCUUCCUGGUGUGGAAUGCGCUCGGAGGAGACGAGUCCAUCAGAGCGGAGAGUCACCGUGCGUCGGCGGCAUCCAUGGCAGCACCAGGCGCUCUUCUUUCUGUUUGUAUGCUAGCAACCAUGAAUCUCACCACACCUCCACCUCUUCACUGGUAAUUCUAUCGCUCUCUGUGUUUUUCGCUCUCUCAUUUUCUUGGAAGCAUCCGAUUUUUCUUACCCUCGAAAAUGAAUGAAUCAAACAAGAAUCAAUCGAGGAAAAGAAGAAGAGAGCGCAGAAGGAGAAACGAGAAACUGGAGUGUGAAAAUCGCUGUCCUACCGAUUUAAAUUACAAGCAAAUAUAAUUUUCUCCUGUUGUAUAUGGAUUAUUUUUCAUGAUCAUUGUUUCAAUUUGCAUGUUUGAAUCAUUAAUAACAGUAUUAAUUUAUUGGACACAAUAGCAAAGAAGCAUACUGAACCAAGCAUACAUGGAUGAGAAGCUGGGAGUGGAAGCCAGAGAAGCCAAGGGGAGAUUAGAUGAAAGACUGAGAACACAAAGAAAACCACAACCCAAAAGGUAAUUAAUUUACCAAUAUGUGGUCCGGCUAUGAAACAAAUUGUUGCUGACACAUCAAUAAUGCCUCGAUAUCCAUGUUAUUGAUGCGUUCUUGACAAUAUCAAUGAAACAGUUGUUCCUUCAUGCACAUAAAAUUUCUUAACAAUAAUGGUUCUUGCACUAACAUACGCGACGGGAAUAAAUUUCCUCUCAUUCUUUUCUCCUUCUGCAAUACCUGUUUAUUUUUGUCUCUCGAUUUUCGAUAUGUUUUAACUAUGUGUUUUAUUAUAUUUGUGAUAAAUUUAGGCAUACUAAUGGUGGUAACAAGGGACUGAAAUGUGUGGAUGGAGGAGGAAGAUCAUCUGUCUUGCUUGGGGAGUUGCAGAAAGAAGUUUACGGAGCAAACAAGAGUAGUAGUAGUACAAGUGGGUCAAAGAAGUUCAGCUGGUCAAAGCUGACCUGGAAGUCAUCGGACCAGGAUGAGUGUGCAGUCUGCCUGGAGAGGCUCAGGCCAGGUGAGACCCUGGUGCACCUGCCCUGUGCCCAUAGGUUCCACUCUGGUUGCAUGGUUCCAUGGCUUCACAACAAUGCCCAUUGCCCCUGUUGCAGAAUGGAGAUUAUCUCCUAGUAAUUGUAUUGGUAAUUUGGUAAAUGCAAAUUGUAAAAUAUAGAUUGAGCUUGCAGUUGCAGUUGUAGAGUUGGUUUGAAGUUUGAACAAUUAACUUUGUGGUGCUAAUUGUUUGGUUACAAUAUGUUUUUGUUAAAGUGAAUAGUUGCCAAGUAGUCUUUGUGUGAGUAGAUAGUUUAUGCAAAUUUGUGGGAGAUUAUAAUUCCACACAUUAAUCUUGAUGUAGGACAAGAUAUGGGUCAAUUCCGACGAAAAAAUAUCAAGAAAAUAAAAUGUUUUAGAGUUUGGAAAGAAGAAUUAAAGUUGGGCUAUAUCAGAUUUAAUUAACAUCGCGACAGAAAAAGUAACAAGAAAUAUUAUCGUGCUAGAAUUGAGAGUAAUAUGUCCUUUUUGAAGAGAAUGCAAGAAGAACAAGACUCAUGGUUAUAAUAUGAGCCCGUCAUGUUUACGGCCAUUCGAGGUUGUUUAAACUCCCAAAACAACAUUUUUAAAGUCUAAUAAAACAACCUUUCAUGUCGUUUAAUUUACUAAGACCCUGAGCUUCCCGAGGGGUUGUGUUUGUGUCUUUUUAAGUCGUUUGGCUCCUAAUGUAAUGUAUCAAUUCAAAAAAUAAUCAAACAACCUUUCGAUUUUAUCCAUCUAUGAUGGAUUCCAAAAACCUUGGUUCUUCAAGAUUUACGUUUGUAAUCCUUAUAUGCUCGUGUUGCGUCAAAUCUCUUCCACAUCUUUCGGGAAAAUGCUUGACUAGUUAUAUGUAGCGUUUCUCAUAACAAACAAAUCUCAAUCUGACUUUUAUAAACGAACUUUUUCAGUUUUUAUUUUUGCAAGUCACUUUAGUAUAUGUGAUAGUCUACAUAAGGAAUAACUCUUUAAUUAUUGUAAAGAGUUAAACAUUAUUCCAAAAUUCUCAAUGAUUUCCAAAUUAUUGAACCAACAUGUGAUCUCCAAUACAAAAUUUUAAGAGGUGCAAUCCCUUUUGUGAAUGAAUGUAAUUGCACUACAUAUCACUAUCCAUCCAUCCAACCUCCCCACCUUGAAAUUGAAUAUCAGAUGAGAGAAAAGGCUCCACUCAUGUGACGGGUGGGACAAGAACAGGUGAAUUAUAGGACAGUCUUUGCUGUCUUGGUCGACCUUUCUCUUGUUUAGUGGAAAUCAUUUGUUCUUGCACUAAUCAAAUGUUAAUACCAAUCUUCGCUUCCAAUUAAGGGAGAUCAUGGUGAGAUCAUAACAACUUAAGUCGCGAAAAAGAUGGGCAGUAGUGGAUCCAUGAGUUUUUCGUUAAUAAGUGAGGUCAUAAAAGUUUGGUGCGGUGUUCUUACUUAAGUAUUUUUUUGGUGGGUUUUUUUGGUGCGGUGUCGCUUGAGCCUUCAGAGACUGAGGAACGAGGAUGGAAAUUGAGUGACGUGAGUGAAUUUGGGUGAAAUAGAGGAUAAGGGAAGCGUACUGAAUGGGACACAAACGCAAACCUAAGAAUAGAAAAGCUAGAAUUCACUAGAGAUUGGGAUAAACCCGAAAGAUUUUUUGUUCAUUUAUGAAUCAAUACAUUACACUGGGAGCCAAAUGGCUUAAAUAGACUUAAUUUGACUUUGGGAAGUUCGUAUCAAACCUUGUGAAGUUCAUAGAAAGUCUAAUGAAAUACAAAAAUAUUGAUUAGAUUGAAAAAUGAAAAGUCUGAUUUUAUUACCAACUUUAAAAUGCUGUUUUGGAAGCUGAAACGACAUCAGAUGGUUAAAAUCUGUUAAGGAAUUUUCAAACCUUGUGAAGUUCAUAUCUUGUCCUACAUCAAGGUUUUGGAUAAAAAUAAGAUUUGCAGCCUUGCUUCAUCCUGUUUUGUUUAGCUGUUGAGUUGGCAAAAUCCGAGUCAUUUUCAUUAAACAAGUUUGCCAUAAAAAUGGAGUAACAAGUUAAGACUAAACCAGAUAAAAGAUUCGGUUCUCUCAAACAAGACCGAAAAAAUAUCAAUAAAAUAUAUUCUAUGCUUUGAAGGUGGAAUGUCAUUUUCUCCUAUAAAAAUGAAGCAUGCUAACUUGGAUUUUAUCCUAAUUUGGGUAAAAUCUUCUUCUUUUCCUACCCUAAUCCUUGUUUUUGUGUCACGACUGGCUAGCUGGAGGUCACUAAAGAAUGGACCCAAUUUAGCUAAUUUAUCUUUGUCUUGAUUAUAUAGAUGGAUAAAUGAUUAGGCAAGGAUUGAUAAACUUUGAUUAAUUAUUCGUUGAUUGAUUGGAGUGACGCAAGAGUCCAAAACUUUUCAAAGUUUUCAAUGUGAUGUGUGACUAAGACAUAACUCGGAAAGGAUGAGCGGCACGAAUAAGGUUUCUUUAUGUCCAAUCAAGACAAUGUCGCGAUCGAAAUUGAGCCGAAAUUACAAGCAGUAUAAAUUUUGAAAAUUAUACAAGUUUUACAGUGUAGGGUUACUAUGUGAAGAAAAAAAAACCACGCUUUUAUAAAACUUUAUUUUUCAGCCCACUCCAGUUUACUGUUUUGUAUUCCUUCAAGUUUUAGUACAUAUUUCCUGGUGCGACAAGAGUUUGUGGCGGUUUUGACGAUCUUGACACAAUGUGGGAAUUCAUAUUUUUUUAUUUUAUAUAUAUCCAUCUUGUGUGGGAUGAGAAUUUAGUCUUACUUCUUGACCAUUUAUCUAUGCUCUGACACUCUCGUAUGUAUAAAUAGGUUCAUAAAAGAAAAUCAAUAAAAAAUAAAAAUAAAAAUAAAAACUUUUGCCAAGGGGAAGGCAGCGAACGACGCCGUUCGGUGGACCAAUUAUUUUCAUUAUUUUGGCACCUUUGCGAAUUUUACCAUUUUAGACUCUUCCCGCAACGGCUAGUUUCCUAGUGACCGUUUUCCCGUCUCCCAAAUUUCAAAUCUGCAAUCGACCUUCAACCCACCAUUAAUCUUCUUCACAUACCGCAACUCCCAGAAAUCUCCUUUCACUUUUCGAAAAACACCCGCAAAACCAAAUCCAAAUCCAAGGCUCUGGCAACUUGUCGAAUUCGAUCUCCGUUAAACCCACUUGGCAAUUCAAAUCAAGGACCCAGAAUUUCAAAAAUGGUAUAUUCAUACGCGCCCGCGUACUACUCCACAAUCCACGACUCCAUGACCUCCCUGUGCAAGUCCAUUCUUCCCUUCAGCUUCAAGAAGCGGCGGUUGCCUGCGGCGGAGCAGAGGCUUUCGAAGCUGCAGUCGGAUAACCUCAAGUGGCAGCAGGACUCUUUCCACCAGAUUCUGAACUUGAUGGGUCUUCACAAAGAAGGCAUCUUGGCUGAGACCGAGGUGUCCGCUUUCCGAUUGCAUUUGCUCGAAACCCUCAUUGCCUCUCAGGUGGCGGAGCACGAACAGCCGGUUAUUCUGAGAGACAAGUUGCUGUUCUUGCAGGUAAAAUGCCAGUCUGCAAUCUCAACUCUUUCCUUUUUUUUUUCAUUUCGAUUGGAUUUUCUUUCUUGGUUUUCUGAGUAACCAAGCAAUGUUUAGGAGCUCUUGUAUGCGAAAUGCAUAUCGGAAGACGAGUACCAUUCUUCGAAAAGGCCGUUGCUGCAGCGAUUAGAGGCACAGGGAGCUGAGAUCGAGGCCAAAGAUAUAAUCGCUUCAGGGUCGCUGCCAGCGAAGGAUCCGAAAGAGAAUACAGAUCAAGAGCAGUGGUCGGAAAUUGACUUGAAGGAUGAGAAAUGCUUGCUAACGAAAGAUAAAGAGGGUUUGAAUUCGAAGAACAAAUCGAAACACAGCUCGGCAGUGAAACAAAUCAAAGGGGCAGCUUCGGUGUUGGGAUUUGUAUCACCUUACAAACAUGGGAAAAACAGGGGAGAAAAGAGCAUAUUCGAUUUGCCUGAUUCGUCAAAAUUCUCUUCUUCCAGCUCUUCUAAGCAUCAAGCAGGAGAUCAAUCGUCGAUUCUUAUGCCGGAAAGCUUGCCACAGGUGCCGGUGAAAGAGAACGGCAGCGCAGAUCGAACAAGGAGGAAACCGUUUAGGAGUCUGUUUCAGAGAGAACAGAAAGAGGGUCAGGGGGAUCAUGCCCACGAAAAUGAACAAACACCUUCGAAAUCGGCCAAAAAGCAAUGGGGUUUUGAUGGAUUCAAGAAAUGGAAGAGGAAUGAGUCGGAGGACGAGACAACUCCGCUGCCGCUAAACGAACGAUCGGAUAGUGAGGCUCACUUGAAGCUUGUUCCAAUCCCCAUGGGUGAAGGGCCAGACACUAAGCUCAUAAAAAGGAGGCUGCUUUCGGAUGGUUCUCCUUCCGAUUUCUUCAUUGACAAGGUUCAAAACCGUAUGAUUUAAUUUCGUAAUUUGCUGGCUUAUAUUUGAAGCAUGAUCCGAAAUUGAAGGUUGUUUUUUUUCUUAUUUUUGUAUGAUCUGAAGGUUUUAGGGGAGAAGAUAAAGAAGGAGCUGUCAAGAAUUCAGUCAGAGCUUUGCGCUUCAAAUCCAAAUCUUCGAUUUACGUAAGCCUUUUGAUGAGUCUUUCUUACAUAUACAUUGGUAUCGAAAAGCAAUCUUUUUGUAUCGAAAACAUACGAGUUUGAUUCUUGUGAUUUGCUCAGGAAUGAACAAAUUGAAGCUAUUUCGACCAGGCUUCCGGUGGACAAGGCUGAUCUGAAGAAGUUCUUUCCCAAGUGAGCAAAUCUUCUCUAACUAAAACCACCGCCCCCUUGUACUUUCUCUCUUAUUUUUCAUUGGAUUUUUGUUUCGUUUUCAGGUCGUGGUGCGAUCGGUAUGGAGAAGUUGUUCUGGACGUGGUGAGGAAAGAGUUCAAGGAGCAUGUUGGGGAGAUGGAGAGCUUGAGAAAUGCGGCAAGAGAGAAACACGGUAUCCACUCAGCGCGAUGGACUGCAUUCCAAGAUGACGAGGAGAAUUGUCACCCGAAUCUCUUUGCUCCGCCGCGAGACAACAACCACAAUUAUACUUCAAAGUUCCAUGAAACCAAUCCGUUCUGUGAUGAUCACAUUCACACCACCCCUAGGAAGCUGAGAUCGAAACCGGCAACUUAUACACAAGAGCAGAACCAGAACCAGAAUCCCUUUUGGAUCCCGGGCACGGCUACUAAUGCGUUUUCGUUGAGUAGCUGCUUAAUAUGUAUUUUGAUUGAGAGAUCGCUUGAUAUGUUGUAUGAACUUUGAGAGAAGAACGCUGUUCUUCCAAGCAUUCAAACUUUAUGUUUGAUUUGUAAAUGUAGGCAAUGUAUUAUCUCCUUCAAUGUUUCGGAACUCGAUUCGCUCCUUGAUUUUUAUUUUCUUAGUUCUUCUCACUCACUAUUUGAAAUCCUCUAAAGGGCCUUCAUGCAAAUAUCCAACACGCGUGUAAUACAAGAAACAAAUCAAUCGAAACAUACGACAUGAUCAUCAGGAGUUGGGGUUACUUGCGAUGCAGGUAAAGUGGUCGAAUUGGAUUGGAAAUCAAGUUAAAAAUCGCAAAUUCGGCAGCAAGAGGAAUUUUUUGCAGACACCUGAACCCCGAGUCGUCCUAACCAGAGACUAUACCUUGACAACAAAACUAGCAAGAUUUAUUCAAGACAUUCAAGUAAAGGCAAAGGAAUCUGCAAGCUUUUGAGCAAAAUGGAAGGUCCGUUACCAAUAAUUCCAGCAAGAAACCCACUAUGUGAAAAAGAUAAAAGAAAAAGCAGAUAACGCUUCACCCCAGUCGUGAAAAGCAAUCAUGCUUAUACACCUUGGGGCGGAUUAAAAGAACUUUACAACAUUACAAAGAACUUAAAGACAUUAUAGCUAUCCUUGGGUUUCAAUCCCUAAAGAACUUCAAGACGUUAUAGCUAUCCUUGGGUUUCAAUGCUCACUGGUCCCCUCGCUCUUAACAAUUAACAAUCUAACUUACUAACGCUAUCGUUUGUCUAAAAAUAAAAGCCAAAAAUACAUAACCAAAAAACACACUAUAAGAUCCCACAUCGCCCACACAGUGAUCCUUAAAUGUAUAUUCUCAUCCCUAUCUAGCACGAGACAUUUUGGGAGCUCACUAGAUUCGGGUUCCGUAGGAACUCCAAAGUUAAGCGAGAAGGAAGCUAGAGCACUCCCAGGAUGGGUGACUCACUGGGAAGUUGCUCGUGUGUUCCCAGAAGGCGUGGUCGGGACCCAAAGCGGACAAUAUCGUACUACGGUGGUGGAGCGGACCUAGGAAGUGGUCCGCCCCGGGCCGGGAUGUGACAAACACCAAGGUAAAAAGGGAAAAUACUGAAAGAAAAAAAAACGAAAAUCCCAGGGUUUGCUAUGUUUGAAGCCUCUUUGUUGAGAUGAAGAUGCCAAUUCAUGCACAUUGAUAUGUAAGUAUCUCGUUCUUUCAAUCACUAUAAAUCCGCAUCAAGGACGGCAGACGCUACAAUAUCGUGGAUUUCGGAAAAAUUCAGAUACAAGUCAGUCUUGGGGGACCAAAACAUGUCCUGGUAGAUGCGAAGAACCAUCUUUAACUAUAUACAUUACUGUGUAGUAUGUACAAUUAAAUCAAAGAGAAGAUAUCUCCGAGUUAGGGACAGAACAGUCGGUGAAACCCUCACGAACAUCUCCUCGGCAAAGCGGGCAAACUCUGUAAGCAGGAAUGAACAGAGAGAAUUUCGGUGAGAAAAAAUACAUGGGGAAAUGAAGGACAAUCAUGAAGGGGGGAAAAACAGAGGAUGGCAAUGACAAUACCCGUGUAUCUCUUUGAGCCACUUAUCAACGCAUGACAUGUGAUACUCGUGAUGGCAGGGAAGAACUCGAAUUUUGUCUCCUUCCUCAUACUCAGCGAGGCAUAUGUAACACCUAUCAAUUAUUAACUCACCAUGAUCAAACAAAUUCAUUAUGCUCCCUACUGAUGAAAUCAUUUAAGUAAAACUUACUGUUCAACAUCAUCCCCGGACUUUGGUUUGUCAACCUUUGUGUGACUUUUAAGAGGAAAACCAUCAACAAGAGAUGCUGGGGCAGGAGCUGAGACCAUCGACAGUGAAAGUGACACAGGUUGGCGGUGAAUCUCAUCCAAAACCUGCACAUCGCACAUUACAACAAAAUUAGGUUUGAUACAUUCAUAAGGUACACAGUAAUCUGUUGUGUAAUAUCUGCCCCUAAGCUUAACCGUCAAACAUAGAUAAAAACUGCGCAAACCAUAUCACAGCCGUUCAACCUAGAUUGGUAAACAUGCAGCCAAAGCCCUCAAAGAGACCUCAAGAAGAAGAAUAUACUAAAAUCAUCGCUGAUUUAAUUACGUUGCUUAAAUACCCUCCUAACUUAAGACAUAUGCAAGAGUGCAGAAAGAAAAUUACCUCAAAUAGAGCUUCGGCGAGCAUGACAAUUCUUGAUAUACUUGCCCGAGUACUAGACUCUUCAGCCAUCAAGAAUGAGCCACAUGAGCACAUGCCACGAGGGUGGAUUCCUGUGGGACAAGAGGUAUUACGCUGGCCAUUAUCAUCAAGGCCAACACGAAGUCUUUCCCAGACCUACAAAGAGUCAUGCAGAUGCAAAUCAAUGAAAAUUACUAGUGGGACCCCAAAAAAUAAAGCUGCUAUAGUUUACGGAUUUCUCCGGCCCGUAAAACAUCUGGAUAUAACACUUCAUAAAGUAUAAAAGAACCUUUGAUGAAUGAUAUAUUUGUAAACCAUGUAAAUGAACAUACACAUAUACAAAAUACAGUUAAGCCCCCAUACUCUCGCAAAUGAAAAAACUCAAUUUUAAGAUCCAAGUUAAGCCACGUGACUGAAACAUCAUAAUAUUUUUUAAUGUUAAAAUCUAUCACCUCAGAUCUAGAAUGUCGCCGUCGUUCACUCGAGUUGGGAAUUCUAUUAGCCCGGUGACCAGAAUCAACUCCAAUUUCAUCAUCAAAGAAAUCACCACUCAAACCAAGCAGCCAUCUGUCAUGAAAUCCCAUAUCCUCGGUAUCAUCAGUAGAGAAAAGAAUGGUUGGUGAAUCAAUAAACCUCCUGGAGCUGCGCCUUGAAAAUGCAUCCCAGAACAGUCGCCUGCCAUUCCUUCUAGCCUCACGAUUACUUGCAUCAGCAUUGCUACUCCUCAAAAAGUUGGAAGAAAUGCUCAUAACAUCAACAUGAAGUACACUUCCAUCUUCCUGGCCUUGUUCCCUAUUGGACACAAGGAAUCCUAAACCAGAAGGUAUUGCCUCCCGAAGGGAAUCAUUUCCAAGUGAGUCGAAAGUCGACGGAGUUUCAGAAACAUUAGCAGAAUCAGUAUCAGCAUUAAAACCCUGUACACCCCUUACGUCAGCCACAUGAUUCUCAACAGACACUUCCUGAGAACGGGAAUUCCGAAUCCCUUGUGGAGAUGAGCUACUUGGAAGCAUAACCUCGGGACAGGUCUCAGAUACAUUCUUGUCUGCUGAAAUGUCAAUGCCAUUGACUGAAUCCACAUUAGCAGAACCAUUCAAAGAGACUGUUUCUGAAGAUUGUUCUUGUCUAAACGAAGUACUAGCGGUAGUACUAUUAUCCCUACAAGAUUGAUCAUGACUAUAAUCGGCACUUACCUGAUGAGGUAUUAGUUCUUUACUUUUGGACAAGCACUUCCCCCGGUUAAUUGUGUCAACACUGCUUAAUCCUUCUUCAACAGUGCUCUCAGAUGAUGAUCCAAUUUCAAUAAUGGGGCAGGUGAACAGUGGUCCACUACUGGAGACCAACGAGGAUCCUUCUCCAGAGUUCCGGACUUGAUUGAUAUCAAGAUCAGAUUGCUCUGCAUAUUUUACACGACACUCAGGUGCGUGAUCUUCCAUCUGCAGGAAAAGUACUGAAGCAAAUCAGUCUCCUUAUGCAAUCUAUAUGACUAUAACUACCAAGUACAAAAUGAUUCACGAAAUUUGAAGGGUAUUGGUAGAAAAGGUCAAAAAACACUAUCAAGGCAUGAAGCAAAUCAGUCUCCAUAUGCAAGCUAUAUGACCAUAACUACCAGGUACAAAAUGAUUCACGAAAUUUGAAGGGUAUUGGUAGAAAAGGUCAAAAUACACUAUCAAGGCAUGAAGCAAAUCCGUCUCCUUAUGCAAUCUAUAUGACUAUAACUACCAGGUACAAAAUGAUUCACGAAAUUUGAAGGGUAUUGGUAGAAAAGGUCAAAAUACACUAUCAAGGCAUGAAGCAAAUCAGUCUCCUUAUGUAAUCUAUAUGACUAUAACUACCAAGUACAAAAUGAUUCACGAAAUUUGUAGGGUAUUGGUAGAAAAGGUCAAAAUACACUAUCAAGGCAUCAAUACAACUACGUAACACCACAGUUCUUUGGCCACCAAAAAAGGUAUUAAACUUACGUUUCUAUACUGUCCAUCAUAAGAGAUGUGCAUUUACUCCCAAAUGAACACAAGUAACACAAGAAUAAAUAACUUCAGUUAUACGCUAAAUAGACUAAUGCUAGGUAUCUCAACUUCAAACCAACACCAAGCAAAAUUUCUGCUUCAUGACUUCAUGGAAAUAAUAUAUUGAGGUUGUCAUCACAAGUGCAUCGCAAAGCACUAAAUAAAAACAACUGCAAUCAUUUGAUAUCUAAUUACAUGCCUCUACUUCUCCAGAAGAUUCCUAAUACGUUCGUCAUGAGGACUCCCAUGAACAAUAAUAGACUUGCACACAAUUAUAUACUUAUAUUCUAGCAAAAUAUCUUUACUCAUCCAAACUUUUCUAAAUCUUCCCUAUCUCCCGAGAAUGGGGGCAUAUAUACACAGAAACAUUUUUACCAACCACUUCACACUACUACAUCAGCAGCAUGAUUGAUUCCCAGCUCAAGAACAUAAGUUGCGCUAAAGACUACGUGAUCAUUUAUCCGCACCAUUAAGAACCUUGACCUUCAAGUUCUACGAUCGUAAUCAAACUUUCUCCAACCAUUUCCCUGAGCAUCCUACCAACCACUCAUCGGGGAUCAUCAUUAAAGUUCAUAUUCAAAAACACUAAAAAAUCAAACAACAUAGUUCAGACCCCGAAAACAAAGUUAAAUCCUUUUUCCUCAUUCACGAUUGUUAUACUGGACUUGAACAAAUGUAUACAUUAAAACAAACAUAACUCGAACUGUCAAUUCAAUGUCCCCAUUAAUUAAAUCCCCAAACUUUUUUCAACAACACGGUCGCAUAAUUAGCAGUUUUAAAAUAUGAAUACAAUAUUCACAAUUGCAGGGAAAUUAUAACGAAAAUUCAAAGUAACUGAGUCAUUAUGAUAUUACCGAGCACAGGGCCAAUCUUCUGCAUCAGCUGGACAAAUCCCAUAGAUUUUUAUUGGAUUGUAACUUGAAUUGAGGAAAAUCAAACCCCCAAGAAAAUUAAUUUAAUGAAAAAAGCUUAAAAUUCUUCUAAUUUGCACCAAAUGAUCAAAUCCCAAAUCAUCCAAAACCAGUAAAAAUCGAAUUUUGCAUCAAAAAAUGUAAAAAGUAUGAGAAAUCCAAAAAUGGGCAUUGACGAUUGAAUUGAAGGCAUCGAUUUUAGUGGAGGACGAUGAAGAAGAAGAAGAAAAGGGUACCUCGUGAGUAGCACGUGCAGAGGAGCCACCACAGACGAAAGAGGAGAGUAUGGAACGACUGGCGGUGCGAUUGACUCGGGGCCGAGAUGGGCGCGAGCCCAGUCGACUGCUGCUCGAACCCAUUUGAGAGAGAGAGAGAGGAAGGAGAGAGAGAGAGAGAGAGAGAGAGAGAGAGAGCGCUUCAGAGAUGGUGAUGAAUGAUGAUAAUUGAAGCAAACCGGCUGAGAGAGAGAGAGCUUUCCAUUUUUCCUUUUUUAUUUCAAAUUCAAUUUUCAUUGUGAACUAAUGGUUUCUACAGUGGACCAGGCUUGACCGACCCAUCAAAUAUAUGGGUCUGGAUCAUCAAGUUUCGGCCCAAUGUAUUCAGUAAAAAACAAAGCUAAGAGCAACUCCAUAUUUAAAAAAUGAGAUGACUCAAAGUCCAUUUAAUCCACCAAAAUGAAUAGUAAUUGACUUUAAUGAACAAUAAUUGUCCAAGUGCAUCAAUUCCUAAAAAAUGAGCUGGGUAAGAGUUUAGUCAAUUCGUAUUAAAAUAUUAUUAAUUUUUUUUAUAAAAAAUUAAAAAAUAAUUUUAUUUUUAAUUUCGGAUAGAAUUUUUAACCUCUUGUCACGUUACGUGUCAUUUUCCGAAAGUACAAUUUUUGUGAAAGAUGGUUAGGUAUAUAUAUAUAUGUAUAUAAUCUUUUAUUUUUUUCUGUAUUUUUAAACAAAUUUUUAUAAUUUUUUAUUAAGUUAAUUAAUCUGGAUCAUUGGAUUUCAAAAAAUAAAAAAAUCCAAUAGCCUAAAAAUGGACAUGUGACCCAUGGUAAGAUUCUGAUAUUUUUUUUAAUGCUGGAACGCACACCUACGCAAGCGUGUAUCCCACGGGCCAACAGCAAAAAAAAAAAUUCACAUGGCUGACGUCAGCUUGGCCUCAUGUAGGCCGGUCUAUUGCUCAGUCCAUUAUGUGUUGGGCUCAAAGGUGGCCUCCACUUUGGGCCAACCUAUUGGGUGGGGUGAAGUUGGUUUUUUUUUUUUUUGGGGGGGGGGGGGCAGCCUAAAAAUUAGACUUUGAGCUAGCACAUUUGUUAGGGAUGAAAUGCUCUAAUAGAAAAAAUGUUAGGCUUAUCAUAUUUUUAAUAUUUCAUGUGUAUAACAUUUUUAAUAAAUAUGGGAUCUACAGUGUUAUUUGCACACUAAUUUUUAUCUCUCACAUAUUCUUGUUAAUUUUUAUUGACUCAUCUUCUUCAAUUCAUAUUGUCGACCGAAAAUUAAGAGGAGUGCGUGAGAAGAAAAAUGAGUGUGUAGAUAACGCUAUUGUAUAAAAAAUUUGAUAAAUAUAGUAUUUACUCUUAUGAUAGAGAUAGGGUUACGUGUUUGGUAUAUAUACGAGUACAAUGAAGCCAUGACAUUUGUAGUGGUGAUUGGUUACAUUGGUAUACUUGAGAUGUGAGGCAAAUUUAUUACCAUCACAAAGAUAAUUAUGAAACUUAUGGGCCUUCUAUUUUACUAAAAAUUGACCUCCAUCGUCCAUAUAUGAAACUUAAACUUGGAGAAAGAUCGUAUACGUUUUAUGAAAGGUUUUUUUAUCUGACAUGGAAUGAGAUAUGGUUUUCUUAACUAAGAUGUGAAAGACAAAAUUAUUCCCAUCACAAAGAUAAUUAUGGAACAUGGGCCUUAUAUUCUACUAAAAUUUGACAUAUUAACUACAUUUUACUAGAAAGAUGUACAUAAAGUUAUACCCAUUUUGGGAAAGUUAUCUAAUUUGACAGAGAAAAUCGAUAAUUUCAAAUGUGUCAAGACGUGUGAUUAUCUCUGUUUAAUUAUAAAUUGGAGGUAGAGAAAAAUGGCAGCACUUUAAUUGUAGUGUGUUUGAAUAGUUGAUCAAGGUAUCGGCAGAGAAAUAUCGAGUUGAAUUGUAGGUAUUCAACUACCAGCAAGACAACCAUGGAUCCAUGGGUGUGACUAGCAGUUGGUGCAUAUGAUGGACACGUUUUACCACUAACAGACGAAACACCAUGUCUGUAUCUACAUAGCUUUCUAUCCUUUCUCCACGUACUUCUGCACCCCAUUAACAAAAAGGCAAAUUAAAAUAUAUUAUACAAAAGUAGACCUAACUUUAAUGCUUUAUCCACUCCUAUAAAAUCUACAUAAUCGUCGAGUUCCAACACACUUCAGAACAAUAUAUCCACUUAUAGUUGCAGGGAACUAAGAAAAAAAAGAAGAUCGACUGAGAAACAUGCCUGACCAUCCACCACCACCACCGGGCCAUGAUCACGGACCCCCUCAUCCUGAGCCUCCUCCGCCGCACGCCCAUGCUCCUCCUCCUCCUCAGCCGGGCGGUGGACCUCACGCACCUCCCCCUGGCCCUCCUGAACCACACAAGCCACAUCAUGAUCCCCAUCAUGGUCCCCAUCAUGGUCCUGGUCAUCACCACCCAUGAAUCAUCAUUCAUCGUAUGAUGAAUAUAUACAUGCUUGCAUGCAUGUAUGUAGAUGUAUGGUGUACGUUGUGAUGUAAUUUCUAGUUUUAACUAAGUCGGUGAGUCCUCUCAUGAUCAUGCAGUUUUAAUGAAUGAUGACUUCGUGUACCCAAAAAGUAUGCAUGAUUAUGUAAAUUAAUAAGAUCGGUUUGUGGUUUUAAUUUCCUCUUAAUUAAUUAGUUAAUUUGGUACGCACUGAGCUGCUGAUCAAAGUGUGGUUUAAGAUGCAAAAUUUCCAUUCCUUUCAUGUUUUAAUUAAGAUGCAAAUCUAAUUACAAACAAAUACGCUGCAACUAACUAAAAACCCUACGUGCAGCAGGCCAUGGAUAAUUUUUGGUCUUUAAUUCGAUCUUUUACUUUAGAUAAAUGUCUAAUUUAAUUGCUGCAAAAGCUAGCUUCUGAAGUAUGAUCAGUGUUAAGAAACAAAUAAAAUUAAGAUAUAUAUCAUCAUUAUAAUUAAAUUUUCUGAUGUAGGAGAACAAAUGAAAUAUGCGUAUAUUGUCGGUGCGUAAUCCGCACUAAUAAUACAACGUUAAAUAAAAAUAUGUAUGUAUUAUUGUAUUAUACAAAUGUAAUGCCACAGUAAGGUUAUUUCCAACCGAAUGAGGGCCAAAAUGCUAUCUUUAGCUCUAUAGUCUUGCAAGAAAUUAUAUUUUAAUGAAUAGUGCUAUGCUAUAUUUUAUACAUCUCAAACU
rnacentral:lncRNA from 1 species